CGCUGCUCGCUGAACGCAGAGGGUGGGGCAGGAGCGCCCCCCGUGUGGGGACGUGCGGGCAGCAUUGUGACGGGACCCCACCCAGUGCUUCCAAAGGCCCUCCCCCUCUGCUGGAAGGUGCACGAGACAGCUCCAAGUCAGAGCGAGGCCCCGUGUGCCGCUGCCCGUGUCGGGUGUUGCAAGCACUGGCAUCGGUGGCCCCACCGUCCCCUUCAGGCUUUGCCAGUCUGCGGCAGCAGAUGCUUCGGGUCCCGGGACGGGCACAGCAGUGGCACCCGGGGACUGACUGCCUGCAGACUGUCAUUUGCUCCCAGCCUGGAGGGAUCCUGGGUGAGGACCUCCUUGCAAUGCAGCGGUAGCUGCUGCUUUACUGGGCCUCUGGGGCUCCGCGUGGCUGCAGUGUGUGCUGUUCAGAGCCAGGGCUCAGCGCCCGGGAGAACAGCACAAGUGUCCCGGAGUCCGCCAUGCCUACUUUCUGGGAUGGUCAGUGCAGGCCAUUUCAGGGGGAACCGCCUCGUUCCAGCCAGAGCACCCCAGAUGUCUACCCGAUGACUGCCUUCCCCCGGGAAUCCUGGAGCAAGCUUCAUGGAAAAAUCCCAUCAGACGUGAGGUUCCGCCUUCCAUCCCACACAGGGCGACUCAGCCUCCUGCUCCUACGCACGUCCUGGAAAUCAUUCAGUGGUGGGAGGAGAGUGAGCCCCGUGAGGGAAGGAUUGUCCUCCAAACCGCCCCCACCCCGCGACUCCGGGCCACCCCACAAGGGUUCACUGAGCACCAGCUGUGCACCCGGCUCUGCUGAGUGUGGCGACGCCGCGCUGCGCAGGCGGCCAUGGCCCUGCCUCCCGGAACGCGGCAGGAUUCCCCAUCAAGUGCAUUUCCGACACGACCAGCUCCGUACUGCCGCGCCUCCUCCUCUGCUGCCAGCACGGAGGAUUUUGUCUGCCGCAGAUCUUAGUAGAAACCAGUGAUGGGCACUCACAGCCGAAGUGGCUGCUUCUCAUUUCCUGUUGCGUCUCACCUUUCACCCAUACCCCAGAGGAAAACGGCCGCGAUGGAGACGUCCGACUUGGGGUAGGGCCAGGAGAAUAUCGGAGGGAGAGCUCUUCUGGGUCCCCUACACAGAGACGCUGGGGUGCUAACCAAUACUGGUUUUGAGAUGAGGGCUUCCCAGCGGGUGGAAGUCCCAGCUCCUGCUACGUGAGUGUUGGCAGCAGCGUCUUCUGAUGUCGUGGGGUUGAGCUGAGGUUCUACAGGAGUGGGGCUGGGCCCGUGACCCACAGGGACUGAUGUUCUUUGGGAGAGAAGGCACAGGCAGCCGAGCUUAGGAGGAGGACAGCCCCGUGUAGACGGAAGCAGGGGUCGGAGCUUCGUGGCUGCAGCCAAGGAAUCCCAAGGGCUGGGGGCUGCUGCGGGAGCCGGGAGACAGGCCUGGCACGGGCCCCGUCCUGGAGGCAGCCCGGCCCUGCAGACGCCUUGAGGAAUGUGUGGACGUCUGUGCUUCAAAGGCGCCAGGUGUGCGGUAAUCUGUUAUGGCAGCCGCAGGAAGUAUCCGGACACCUGGGAAGUCAGCCCAGCUGCGGGGGACACCGCUUGCAGCCCGGACGUCCCGGACUGGAGUGCCAGUUCCAGUCCCGGCUGCUCCACUUCCCAGUCAGCUCCCUGCUAAUGGUCCUGGGAAAGCAGCAGAAGAUGGCCCGAGUGCUUGGACUUCCGCCACCCGUGUGGGGGACCAGGAUGGAGUUCCUAGCUCCUGGCUUCAUCCUGGCCACUGUGGCCACUUGGGAAGUGAACCAGGGAAUGGAAGAUUCUCUCUAAGUCUGCCUUUCAAAUAUAUAUAUAUAUAUACACACACACACACACACAUAUGUAUAUACAUAUAUAUGCACACACACAUAUGUGUAUAUAUAUAUAGUGAGAGAGAGAGAGAGAGAGAGAGAACGCUCACCUCGGGGCCGACACUGAGGCCUUUCCUACUCCCAGGUUACUCGUCCUCUGGGUGAUGGCACCAGCAGGGCGAGGCCCAGCAAUGCACAGCCGGGAGGAGUUGUGCCCGCAGGGGAGCCGAGUCCUAGUGCACACAGGAACCUCCCUGCUCCCUUGCCCACCGCCUGGAGGAGGACCACGGCUGUAGUAGCUAAGCAAGUAGCUCAGAAGAGUGGAGAGAAAUUAGGAGCCGCAGGUGGAUUUUCCCUAGGAACGCGAGAACUGCUCGUCAGUCCACCGUCGGGUGGACCCACAGCCCGGUGGGGUUUGCAUUUCCGCUGCGUUGUGCUCUCAGACCCUGGAGCCCUCUCUCCCACAAGCCGCUGUCAGAGCCGUGCGUGGGACUUCGGGGACAUCUGGCCACGGAACUCACACAACACGGAGCUCGGACACAACUGCGCACGGCUCAGUGACUUGGAAAUAGAACUACCUUCCUGUAAGGAAUGACUUGUCGUCUGUGAGGAUAACGAGAGUGGGAUACUCAGUCUGUGUCCAGAGACCGCAACAUGUUCGUGCCUUUUCUCCAAAUGCAGCACUUUGGGAAUAUUACGGGUCUUCACGCUGAGGUCAGUCUGCCCCGUGAAGGCUCGGAGCUUGCAAGAGAAGCACACACCGGGCGUGUCCGAGGAGCGUCUGGACGAGUCUCAGGUGCACCCGGGGUCUGUUCUAACCCACCUGGAGCGACCUUGAGCCAGCCUGUGUUCUUUGCACAUUCCUCAUCCAAUCCCAGAAGUAUCCUUCUCAAAAAUGAUCAGUGUUUUCCUUUUCAGCAGAUCCAGCCUCUGAAGAUGGAACCCAUUAGGUUCUAAAAAUAGCAAUCCCCAACCACGAGAAACUCACCUGGCUGACGGCUGACGUGGAGCCUGCCUUCUCAGGCCAGGCCCAGGUCCUCAGUGUGCAGCGAGGCACAGACAGGUACCCUCCCGGAAUCCAGGCGGUCAGCCGCCUUGGAGCCCUCCCCAAGACCCUGUGGAAGUUGCUGGCUCGGGUCUCCCGGGCCUGGUCACUCCUGUUCCGCCCUGGAUGAACCUUCUCUUCACCUUUUCUCACAGUGCGUUUGUCGGCUCCACAGUAGGGUAGGAUUAUGGGUGGUGGUGCAGCAGAGCAAUGGAAACUAUAAAUGGCCCCCAGACAGGGACUGGCUGAGCACCUUGUGAUACAUCCAUAGGUGGGACGCUCCUAGGUCAUCAGCAUUCAGCUUUGAGGAAACGAUGCCCAAGCCGUGUAAUCCCAGUUUCACUGUAACAGCAGUGAAAGGGCAUGACAACACCAUGGGUGGUUCCAAUGUGCUUCCUUUGGGAUUUCUGGAAAUUUCAUGUCUUUUUUUUCCUUUACAAUGAAUAUUAAUUCUUUUUUUAAAAAUCUUUUAAUUUUAAUAUAAUUUUAAGUUUACAAAAUGGUGAAGUUGUGCCGUCCGUACACCCCACAGCCAGUUCCCCUCUUGUUAACAUCGCAUGCUAGUGUCAUCUAUCUCUCAUGACUAAUGAGCCACACCAGCUUCCCCUGCUAUAUUAAUCCAAAUUCCUUCUCCCCCAUCCCGGCCUCCGGAAUCAACAUUUUGUGUUCAUAUUGAGAUUUGUUUUUUUAAACCUUCGUCAGAUAAGGUAUUCGUCUUCCUGUGUCUGACUUAUUUCACUUAAAAUGAUGACCUCAAGUUCAAUCAUUUGCUGCAAAUGACAAGAUUUCAUUCUUGUCUUCUAUUGUGUGUGUGCCAUACGUUUUCUUCACUCAUCCGUCUGCUGAUGGAUGUCCUGGCUCACUCCCUACUCUGGCCAUUGUGAAUAGGGAUGCUGUAACAUAUCCCUUUGAUACAAUGAUUUCAUGUCUUUUUGUCUAUAGGGGUGAGAUUACUGGGUCAUGUGGGGUUCUACUGCUAGUUUGUUAAGAAAUCACCACACUGUUUUCCAACAGUAUAUUAGAGUUCCCCUUUUUUCACAUCCUCAUCAACAUUUGUUACUUUCUGCCCCUUUGUAAUAUAAAGAGAGUCGCUUAUUGAGCUAUAUAAAGAUUGUAGCCGAUUGCUGGGUGUAGUUCUGUGAGUUUGAGCAUUUGUCUACAGCGGGUGAUUGACAUGAACCUUUCCCACGGCCCUGUUUGGGCUGAGAACUGCCCUGUGCCCUCUGAAGGGUCAGUGGGGUCUGCAGAAAUAAGCUAAGCGAUUGACAGGAGAAAAGGCACACACCUGGCUGCCGUGCGUGCGAGGGAGACCCCAAGGAGGGCCAGGGCCUGGCACUUAAACAGCUACAGGAAGGGGCAGAGGUGGGGCAACCCAAGGAGCAGAGGCCACCGUGUUGUGAGCUGCAGCCCCUUGGGGCCCAGGUGGGCGCUGGGCGGAGGCUGGGAGCGGCGUCGGACUCUUGGCCUCUCUCUGCUGUCUGAGGAGAUCCUGGGGACAGUCCCUGACAGUGCCAUGGCGGGAAGAAUUGCCCAUGGCCCAGCUCUUUGGGAGGAAAGGAGGGCGGUGAGAGGUCAGAGAGACCUCGGCUCUCCUUUAGAACAAAGCGUGGGGCAGGCUGCCGCAUCACACCUUGGGGUGCGGCUUUCUGAGCUCCGGGAACGCCCCCGGAGACCCCCUGUGGGCUCGGAAAAUGACACCCCGAAGCCUGACGUGUUGCCACGCUGGGCGCUUUGAAUGAAAACUGUGCCGGCCACUAGGUCUCUCUGACCUUCCCGGCGGCCCCCUCCCAGGCGGCAGCGGGGCUGGGGCUGGGGCUGGGCGGGGCUUCUCUCUGCUAUUCCCCUGUCUGUCAAUGGGGGCAUAACUGAAUUCUAAUCUCCGAGAUGCGAUUAAGCAGGGAAGAGGAGGGAAGGCGAGGGCUGGGACAGACUUUGUCGCAGCCGCUGUCUGCUCUUCAGCCCAUCCGACCCCCAGACAGACUCACGUACACGCUACCGUCCCUUCUUGAGCCCCUUCGAUUCCCGUGGGAAUCAUCUCCCAGCCCUCACGGCGGCCUGCGGGGAGGGAUAGAGAAGUUCUGAAGCGCACUGGUCUGGGGGUGCUCGCCUUGCUCUGCUGUUAUGUGCAGGAGUAGAAUUGCAUGCCUUUUCUCCCCCUGCCUGUUGUCAGCUCGCUUCAGCAAAGCCUUCAGGGGGUGGAGGAGGAAUGUGCCUUUCCUCUGCUCCAUGGUCUGCUACUACUGCUUUGCCCGUUCUUUCCUCUGCUCCAUGGUCUGCUACUACUGCUUUGCCCGUUCUAGAGCAGUAUCCAGGGGCCAGCAUUGUGGUGCAGCGGGUCAAGCCACUUCCUGCAGUGCUGGCAUCCCACAUAGGCACGGGUUCGAGUCCUGGAUGCUCUGUGUCUGACCCCGCUCCCUACUAAUGCCCCCGGGAAAGCAGCAGAAGAUGGCCCAAGUGCUUGGGCCCCUGCACCCACGGGGGAGACCCAGAUGGCGUUCCAAGUGUCUGGUUUCAGCCUGGGCCAGCCCCAGCCACUGAGGACAUUUGGGGAGUGAACCAGUGGAUGGGAGACAUGUCUCUCUCUCUCUCUUGCUGUUUUCCCCUCUGUCUCUGUAACUCUGCCUUUCAAAUAUAUAAAUAAAUCUUAAAUAAAUAGAAUAUGGCAUAGAGCUGAAUAGCACAUAGUGUUUCAGGUGUGUUUUUUAUAUCUCAAUAUACCUUGAGGCUCCUCCAUUGACUUCCAGGUCCCAGAUGAGACAAAAUCAUUCAUGCCGGCCGGCGCUGCGGCUCACUAGGCUAAUCCUCUGCCUGCGGCACUGGCACCCCGGGUUCUAAUCCCGGUUGGGGUGCCGGUUCAGUCCCUGUUGCUCCUCUUCCAGUCCAGCUCUCUGCUGUGGCCCGGGAAUGCAGUGGAGGAUGGCCCAAGUCCUUGGGUCCUGCACCCCUUGGGAGACCAGGAGAAGCACCUGGCUCCUAGCUUUGGAUCAGCGCAGCUCCGGCCGUAGCGGCCAUUGAGGGGUGAACCAACGUUAGGAAGACCUCUCUCUCUGUCUCUCUGUCUCUCACUGUCUAAUUCUGCCUGUCAAAAAAACUCAUUCAUGCCUCACCCUGUCAGUCGGGGUUACCAUUCCUUCCAGUGGACAGCACUGUGGACCCACUAAUAGUGAAAUGCCACUCGUGCUGUAAGGUCCUUCUUAAUACCACCUCCUCUAAGGAGCUGUUCACGAUCUUCUGCCCUAAACAUCAUGGUUUCUCUUUCUGGAACCCUUGUGUCACGUCAUGGCCCUGCCAGGCAGUCGCGUGCUUCUUUGUAACACAGCUCAUGCCCCGCCUCGAUCCUGAUGCGCCAAUCAGACGCUGGGCUUCUUCAAGCCGAGAGCCGUCUUCCGCCCACAGUAUCUCCACACAUACACACACACAGGCACAUGUGGUCACACACACAGACACACACACAUACACACACAGGCACACAUACACACACACAAGCACACACACAUAUACACAGAGGCACACAUACACACACAGAGGCACACGUGGGCACACACACAGGCACACACACACAUACACAUACAGGCACACAGGCACACAUAUACACACAGACACACACACAUAGGCACACACCCACACAUACAGGCACACACAUGCACAUAGGCACACACCCACACACACACACAAGCACACACACACAUACACACAGGCACAUAGGCACACAUACAUACACACAGACACACACACAUAGGAACACACCCACACAUACAGGCACACACACACACAUAGGAACACACCCACACCCACACACAGGCACACAGGCACACAUAUACACACAGGCACACACACAUAGGAACACACCCACACAUACACACAAGCACACACACACAUACACACAGGCACACAUACAUACACACAGGCACACACACAUAGGAACACACCCACACAUACACACACAGGCACACAGGCACACAUACAUACACACAGGCACACACACAUAGGAACACACCCACACAUACACACACAGGCACACAGGCACACAUACAUACACACAGGCACACAGGCACACAUACAUACACACAGGCACACACACAUAGGAACACACCCACACAUACACACACAGGCACACAUACAUACACACAGGCACACACACAUAGGAACACACCCACACAUACAGGCACAGACAUGCACAUAGGCACACACCCACACACACACAAGCACACACACAUAUACACACAGGCACCCACACAUACACACACAGGCACACAUAUACACACAGACACACACCCACAGGCACACACCCACACAUACAGGCACACACAUGCACAUAGGCACACACCCACACAUACACACAAGCACACACACAUACACACAGGCAGGCACACACACAACCUAACAGACACACACACAUACACACAGGCACACACACAAGCACACAUACACAACAGGCAUGCACACACAUAUUCACACACAUAUUCACACACAUACACACACACAUGCACAUGAGGGCACUUCAGAAAGCCUGUGGAAAACGGAAUUAUAAGUUUAUUGGGUGCAAAAAAUGUUGAGAUCCAUGCAUAGCUUCUUCACAACCUUUAUUUUUCACAAAGCCCUUGAAGACCCCGGCACAGGGUUAGCUGUUGGUCUGACUUGUCUUGGUAGUCCGGCCUUCUCACUGCCCUGCCCAUGUGCUGGGCUCAUUCCCCUCUGAGGCCUCACAGGGCAGGAGCACUGGGUGUCCAGGGUGCCCGGCCCCGGCCAGCCCUUUGCAGGACAAGCUGACUUAAAACCCUUCUGGGAAGAGGUGGCCAAGGACCCAGACGUGAAUUCUUAACUCCACCUACCUGCGGUCUUGCCCAAUGAUGUUCUGUGACUGAUCUGCCCGCUU